AUGGUGAAGUACUUCAAGAGGUCACCUUCUCGUCUCCAUGCUUUUGUUGCCACUUGCAAAAGCUUGGGUGUCAAAGUUGGUAACCAUUUACACCUAGAUUGUAAAACAAGGUGGAGUUCAACCUAUAAGAUGAUUAGCACUGUCCGUGGAUAUAAGGAAGCCUUGACCUCUCAUGUUGGUUCCAAUGCCAACUAUGCUUGGGCGCCGACAAAUGCAGAGUGGGACAUGUAUGAGCUUAUCUCUCUAUUAAUUGAGAGUUUGGCUGAGGUGACAAAAGCAUUUUCAAGAAGUUUAUAUCCCACUUCGAACAUCUUCCACCAAUACAUUGUUGGCGUCAAGCUUGCAAUCAAACAUGCAAUGACUAGUGAUAGUGACCACUAA
rnacentral:rRNA from 1 species